UACGAAGGGGGCUAGCGUUGUUCGGAAUUACUGGGCGUAAAGCGCACGUAGGCGGAUUUGUAAGUCAGGGGUGAAAUCCCGGGGCUCAACCUCGGAACUGCCUUUGAUACUGAAGAUCUUGAGUUCGGGAGAGGUGAGUGGAACUGCGAGUGUAGAGGUGAAAUUCGUAGAUAUUCGCAAGAACACCAGUGGCGAAGGCGGCUCACUGGACACGUAUUGACGCUGAGGUGCGAAAGCGUGGGGAGCAAACAGGG
rnacentral:rRNA from 1 species